ACUCUUUUGCCAUAUGAGGAACGAGCAUUUGUCCCUUUUGUCCUUCUGCCAUUUGAGGAAGCAACAAGAAGGCCCUUACCAGAUGCUGGUGCCUUGAUCUUCAACUUCCCAGCCUUCAGAACUGUGAGAACUAAACUUCUGCUCUUUAUAAAUUAUAAAUUUAUGGUAUUAUGUUACAGUAGUACAAACAGACUAGGACAGUUGGUAAAUCUACCUAAUUUUUGAGCAUAUUCAGUAAGCCCAUUUGGUUCUGGAACAAAGCCCUCCAACUUAGCAUUUGUCAAUAGUAAAAUUGACAUUCUGAUUUCUAUUGGUAAUCCUUUUAUAUUAUUUCAAUUUUUCAGAAAGCUGGCAAGGAAGUGGGAUGCUAUUUAAUGGACUUCUAUAAAUGUUGCAACCUUUGCUAUGUGGUCCAUAAAAAGAAACAAAAAAGUGGAAUUUGAGAUGAAAAAUUAUAAUACUAGUGAGGCUAGGGAGUAGGGAGGCCUUGGCUGUCUAUGGCUGCCUCCAACUAGAUGGCAAAUCUACCUAAUACUAAGCUACAUCCUCCAUCUUGCAUUUUAUUAGUAAGGAAGUUGAUGUUUUGGCCUCCAUCUGACACUUUUUUAUUCAGUUUUUUCAGAACUUGGCUGGGAAGAGGAUUUCAAAGAGUAGAAGUUAAAAUAAUUAGCACAGUAAUGAAGAAAAAUUACUGAAAUAAAAUGCAAGCAAUCAAAUAAUUUUUGUUUUCUUCAUUUUAAAUAGCAAAUGGGCACAGAAUUGCAUGAAACCUAAUCUUUGUUUCAUGAUACUCAUCAUCUAUGCUUGGUUUGUCAUUUGUAAUAUGCUUAAUAAUGUACUAAAUACCUUGACAGUUACAUCUUUUAGUCUCCUUUGCUGAAUUCACUCCUGGUCCCAACCUAAGAACCACUCAGUUAUGAAUCUAUUCAAGCAUUUAUAUCUGAUAAGUUUACUUGAAUAGAAGUAUAUAGGAUUAUUAACUGAAGCCAGAGAGACAAACGAGGAAACUACUGCAAUAAUCUAGGCAAGACAUAAUGAGAAUUUUAAUUUUGUCACUAUCAUUAGAAAUAGGAAAGCAGUCACCAGAAUCUAAAGAAACAGAAUUUGGGAUUGGCCUUGCCUGUAAGUACAGCCUUAGUUUUCUCAGGUUUUUCUUUUUCUUUUCUUUUCUUUUUUUUUUUUUUUUUUUUUUUUUUUGAGACAGUCUCGCUCUGUCAUUCAGGCUGGAGUGCAGUGACAUGAUCUCAUCUCACUGCAACCUCUGCCUCCUGGGUUCCAGCGAUUCUCCUGCUUCAGUCUCCCGCAUAGCUGGGAUUACAGGCACACGCCACCAUGCCUGGCUAACUUUUUGUAUUUUCAGUAGAGACAGGGUUUCACCAUGUUGGCCAGGGUCGUCUCGAACUCCUGACCUCAGGUGAUCCUCCUGCCUCGGCCUCCCAAAGUGCUGGGAUUACAGGCGUGAGCCACCACACCCUGCCUAGUUUUUUCAGUUUUAAAGUAAUGCAUUUGAAAAAGAGUCAUUUCAAGUGUUCCUUCCUAGUCAGGAAAUCUGUGAAGAAUAUUCAGUGUGAAAUCUUUGAAAGUGAAAUGAAGCUACCUGGACUCCUCAUAGCAUGGGAUGGUAGAAAGAAUUCAAGCUAAUCAUACUCAGGUUAAGAAAAUUCAUCCUCAGAUUCUUUUUUUAAUUAUUAUUUUGAUAGGAGUCUCACUCUGUUUCCCAGGCUGGAGUGCAGUGGCCGGAUCUCGGCUCACUGCAACCUCCACCUCUUGGCUUCAAGCGAUUCCCAUUCUUCAGCCUCCCAAGCUACUGAGAUUACAGGUGCAUGCCCACACACUCAGCUAAGUUUUGUAUUUUUUUUAGUAGAGAUGGGAUUUCACCUUGUUGACCAGGCUGGUCUCAAACUGCUGACCUCAGGUGAUCCACCCACCUCAGCCUCCAAAAGUGCUGGGAUUACAUGCGUGAGCCACCAUUCUAGGCCCAUCCUUGGAUUCUUUUUUUCAGUUUUUUGACCCUAGAUAAAUUACUUAAACUUGUUGAGCUUCAGAGUACUUACCUGCAAAACAGGAAUAAUAGCUACUUUACAGGGUGUUAUAAGGCUAAGAAUUCUAGGUAAAAUACAGAGUACCUGACAAAUGCUAGGAGAGUUUAUUAAAUUGUAGAUUUAUCUUAUCUCUGUUCCAUUAAAUCUAAU
rnacentral:lncRNA from 10 species